rnacentral:rRNA from 1 species
AUUGAACGCUGGCGGCAGGCCUAACACAUGCAAGUCGAACGAGUGGCGGACGGGUGAGUAAUGUCUGGGAAACUGCCCGAUGGAGGGGGAUAACUACUGGAAACGGUAGCUAAUACCGCAUACCAUCGGAUGUGCCCAGAUGGGAUUAGCUAGUAGGUUGGGUAAAGGCUCACCUAGGCGACGAUCCCUAGCUGGUCUGAGAGGAUGACCAGGCCCACUGGAACUGAGACACGGUCCAGACUCCGACGGGAGGCAGCAGGGGGGAAUAUUGGACAAGGGGUGCAAGCCUGAUGCAGCCAUGCCGCGUGUAUGAAGAAGGCCUGAGGGUUGUAAAGUACUUUCAGCGAGGAGGCGUUACUCGCAGAAGAAGCACCGGCUAACUCCGUGCCAGCAGCCGCGGUAAUUC